rnacentral:rRNA from 1 species
UACGGGGGGGGGCAAGCGUUGUUCGGAAUUACUGGGCGUAAAGCGCGCGCAGGCGGUCCUUUAAGUCUGAUGUGAAAGCCCACGGCUCAACCGUGGAGGGUCAUUGGAAACUGGGGGACUUGAGUACAGAAGAGAAGAGUGGAAUUCCACGUGUAGCGGUGAAAUGCGUAGAGAUGUGGAGGAACACCAGUGGCGAAGGCGACUCUUUGGUCUGUAACUGACGCUGAGGCGCGAAAGCGUGGGGAGCAAACAGG